ACUAAUGUGUGCAGCCUUUUGGCUUAGAUCAAGUGUAGUAUCUGUUCUUUUCAGUUUAAUCUCUGAAAUGUUCCCACUGGGAACACAUUGAUUAUACUACUUUUUGAACCGAGCCUGGUCAUCUCUAGCUUGCUAUGUGGCCGGCACAGGUGUCGCUUGUAUUGCACUAUCUCAGGCAGACGCCGAAUCUCU
rfam:Pneumocystis jirovecii RT7 supercont1.14, whole genome shotgun sequence.